GACGAACGCUGGCGGCGCGCCUAACACAUGCAAGUCGAACGGAGCUGCGAGAAGCUUGUUUUUCUUAGCUUAGUGGCGGACGGGUGAGUAACGCGUGAGUAACCUUCUCUGGAGUGGGGGACAACAGCUGGAAACGACUGCUAAUACCGCAUAAGACCACGUUCCGGCAUCGGAUUGAGGGAAAAGGAUUUAUUCGCUUCAGGUUGGACUCGCGUCCAAUUAGCUAGUUGGUGAGGUAACGGCCCACCAAGGCGACGAUUGGUAGCCGGACUGAGAGGUUGAACGGCCACAUUGGGACUGAGACACGGCCCAGAAUCCUACGGGAGGCAGCAGUGGGGGAUAUUGCACAAUGGGGGAAACCCUGAUGCAGCGACGCCGCGUGGAGGAAGAAGGUUUUCGGAUAGUAAACUCCGGUCGUUAGGGACGAUAAUGACGGUACCUAACAAGAAAGCACCGGCUAACUACGUG
rnacentral:rRNA from 1 species